GGCAGGGGCCUGCUCCUAAGGGUUCAAGUUCUGAGUGUCCAGCUUACUGGCUCUGUGACCCUGAGCCAGUAGCCUAACCUCUCUGAGACUCAGUUUCUGCAUCUGUCAAAGGGGGAUUAAAAACAUCAUCACAGGAUGGCUGGGAAGAUUUGGGGAUGUGAACGGCAUUAUCACUGUGAGCACCUGAGACUCCCAGAGGACGUCUCCAGAGCCCUGAUUACAUCUGUGGAGAGAGCCUCAAACCUCGCAGACGAGCGGCCUAUCGAUCAGCCUGGCAGCUGACGUUUGUCUGAAAAUUUGGAGGAGGGCGAGCGGAGAGCCGGCCGGGCUGGGGUCGUCAGGGGGACCUGUUACCCCAAAGGCAGGGUCCCCCACCCUCCUCGCCUCCGCCAGCCAGGGCCACUGCUUAGAUUAGCAUCACCUAUCGAUCCCUAGCACCGUGACCUUGGGCAAGCCACCUCCCUCCCCUUCCCAGCCUCAGUUUCCUUCCCAUGAGCACGAGCGUGUUGGAGAAGGUGAUUUCAGGGUCCACGACCUUGUGACUCGCAGGCGGGGGCCACAGGCCAGCUGCCGGUGGCCCCGGGGAGCUUGUUAGGAAUGCAGGCUCUCAGGCCCAGCCCAGGCCCGCGGAAUCCGAAUCUGCCUUUUAACAAGCUCCCCCGGCGCCUCCCGCUCACAUUACAGCCCGAGAAGCUCGUCCACGCUUCCGCUCAUUUGGCUACUUCAGAGAUGAACAUGUAUAAGAAACCUCUCAAAGGGAAUGAUUCACCACCUUCGCUGGCCUCGGAAAACUUUUACAGAUUUUCUUCCUUCCCCGAGAACAUUAACCCUGAAAAGGAGCCAGCUCUGAUAUGCCCGCCACCUCCCGUGGUUUGCGCCCCAACAUGGAAAGAUCUUUAUUCGGUGAGCCACACGGCAAGCCUGGGGAUGAAACGACAAGCAGGACCCCCUUCCUGCCCUCAGGGAACUGCCUCUCUAGUAGGAGCCCCGGCCUCCCUCCCUCUAGGCUGAAAAGAUGCGGGAGGGAAAGGCUGGUGGCUUGGGCUUAGUGCCAAGCAUCGCGCUCCCGGCGUGGGCGUCUGAGCAAAUUCCCGGGAACAGCACCAGCCUCUCGUGACUCUCUGUGUUAGUUUCCCGAGGCUGCUAUAACAAAUUACCAGAAACUGGGUGGCUUGAAACAACAUAAAUUAAUUCUCUCCAUAGUUCCGGAGGCCAGAAGUCUGAGAUCCAGGUGCUGGCAGGGCCGUCCUCCCUGCAGAGGCUCCAGGGGAGGGUCCUUCCUGCCUCUUCCAGCUCACGGCACCUGUCGGCAACCCUUGGCUCGUGGCAGCAGUAGUCACAUUGUCUCCUUCUCUUCUGAGGCCACUUGCAACGGCAUUUAGGAUCCACCUGGAUAAGCCAGGAUCAUCUCAUCUCAAAAUCCUUAAUUACAUCUAUAAACAACUUUCCCCCCCCCCAAACAAGGUCAUGUUCACAAGUCCCGGGGAUUUGAUGUGGCUGUUUUGGGGGUGCUGUUUUUCAGCCUAUUCCAAUCAAGACGUGGCCUCACUGGGUGAGUUACUUAUGGGGUGGCUGAGCAUCAGUGUCCUCCCCUGGAAAUUGGGACAAUAAUCCUCCUAGGCUGGUUUUGUGCUUGAGUGUGUGCAGCAGCACCUGGAGGGCUUGCUAAACACAACCAGGGAUGGGGGUGCGGGGGGAUAGGGUGGUCUCUAAUCCAGUGGGUCUGGGCAGGGCCUUAAGAGUGCGUUUCUAACAAGUUCCCAGGUGAGGCUCAGAGCCGCAGGAUUGAACAAAGUGAUGUGUCUACAGUGCUCGACAAGGUCCCCAGCCAAAAUAGAUACUGAAUAGAUAAAUGCUGGUGAACAACCAACAAAAAUGCCACCCGCCACAGCCACUUGGCUAAUCAGAAGACAGCAGAGCAGAGGGGCCGGUCUCCCGUUAAAAGGAGGAAGAUUGCCCAGUGGCCGUGCAGGGGUUGGAUCGGAUGAGGAAGAGACCGGACACAGGAAGAUCGUUUAGGCCGGCUGGUAAAACAAUUCAGGCAACAGAUGACGAGGGCCUGGGCUGAAGCUCAGGCGGGCGCGAGGCUGGCUUGAUGGAUGAAGGCGUGAGCCAACAGAUGAGCAAAUCAUCAGUUAAGCCAGCUUCAUCCCGUCUCGGAAGAGAUGGACUCGGAGUGCAGUGGCAGCGAUGCCUGGUGUCCUUGGGCGACGUACAGAAGGGGCCUGGCUCUGCCUUCCUGGGCACCUCUGCUCUCCCUCUGUCCCCGUGGGGGAUGGCACCUCCCCUGCAAUUACCCGGUGCAGGCUCUGCUCAGCAUCCCCCAAAUGCUACUAAACUGGCUAAUUUCUGUGGGGAUUUUUCUUUAAGCCAGCAUGACACAGGCUUUAAAUCAAUUUGAAAUCCGUUGUCUACAGAUCCGCAUGGAGAGGGUCCUCGGAGGAGCCACCAAUUAUUCUCAUCUGUCAGUGAGGACGGGGAGAUUGUGCCAGGCAUGGGCUGCAGUGGGGACACUCGGGUUUGGAUCAUGGGGAAAGAGUCAGGGGCCCAAGGCCACACCAGGCAGGCAGGAUGCUGAAGCCUUGUGCAUGCUGCCCAGGCUGCAAGGCGAGGGGCUCCCAGCCUGGGUCUGAGUGAGAGACAGAAGGAAGGUGCAGUCGUCAGUUAAAAGGACUGGGUGAGGUCUGGGGACGCCAAGGUCCCCAGUGAGUUCAAGGACUUUGGCCUUUGCUCUCUGGUUCACUCAAGCCAUUAAAUGCGUGAAGUUGAUGAAGUCGGGAAGGAAAGGGCAGGGUCUGGGCGGGCUGGUGCUGGUGGUGGGUAGAGGGAAGGUCAAAGGGACUCAUUAGCAGCCAUUUGCAGCCUGCUUUGGAGCUCAGGAUCACGGAGAGUAUUUAUGAAUAAAAUCAAUCUUGCCCCUGAUGCAGGGAGACAAGCCAAAUUCGCCGGCUCUGUCUUCCUGUCCAAAUGGCUCUCUUCUCCUUCAGAAUAUUGCUUUGUAAUAGAGCCCCUCCUCCCAUCCUCCCCCCACCAGGGACGUUUCCAAUUUAUCAGCCCUAAGUGGAGGACGUGGGGGAGUGGCCGACAUGGCCCUGCCCUGGCGGGACCACUAGGAGCGCCAGGGAGGAGGUGAGGGAAAAGGCUUCGAUGAAGGCAGCCGGUCCUUCUGGGCUUUCCCCACUGUGGGUGUUAGGUUUGUUCCAGGUGGGAACCAGAAAAGUAAGUGUAGGACAGACUGGGGUUAAUGCAAAACAUAGGCUUGGAAAA